ACAAACAAAGAUGUUGUGUCCGCCAAAAACUAAAAAAUAAAUAUUUAAAAAGAUUCUCUCUCUCUCUCUCUCUCUUUUUUUUAAAAGAGAGAGUGGGAGAGAGAGAGAGAGAAUUUUUUUUUUAAUAUUUAUUUUUUAGUUCUUGGCGGACACAACAUCUUUGUUUGUAUGUGGUGCUGAGGAUCGAACCUGGGCCACAUGCAUGCCAGGCAAGCGCGCU
rnacentral:sRNA from 1 species